UACUUGGUGGCGACCGGCGCAAGGGUGCGUAACGCGUGAGCAACAUGCCCGUAUCAGGGGGAUAAUCCAGGGAAACUUGGUCUAGUACCCCAUAGUAAUGUUUUCAGGCAUCUGGAGAUAUUUAAAGCUUUGGUGGAUACGGAUUGGCUCGCGUGACAUUAGUUAGAUGGUAAGGUAACAGCUUACCAUGACUAUGAUGUCUAGGGGUUCUGAGAGGAAGGUCCCCCACACUGGAACUGAGACACGGUCCAGACUCCUACGGGAGGCAGCAGUGAGGAAUAUUGGACAAUGGAUGGAAAUCUGAUCCAGCCAUGCCGCGUGCAGGAUGAAGGUCCUAUGGAUUGUAAACUGCUUUUGUAUGGGAGCAAUAAGGUCUUCGUGAAGGCCGAUGAGAGUACCAUACGAAUAAGCACCGGCUAACUCCGUGCCAGCAGCCGCGGUAAUACGGAGGGUGCAAGCGUUAUCCGGAUUUAUUGGGUUUAAAGGGUGCGUAGGCGGUGAUAUAAGUCAGCGGUGAAAGUUUUCAGCUCAACUGGAAAAAUGCCGUUGGUACUGUAUCGCUGGAAUAUGGUUGCUGUGAGUGGAAUGUGUAGUGUAGCGGUGAAAUGCUUAGAGAUUACACAGAAUAUCGAUUGCGAAGGCAGCUCACAAAGCCAUUAUUGACGCUGAGGCACGAAAGUGUGGGGAUCAAACAGGAUUAGAUACCCUGGUAGUCCACACUGUAAACGAUGAUAACUAGCUGUCGGCGAUACACAGUCGGUGGCCAAGCGAAAGCGAUAAGUUAUCCACCUGGGGAGUACGACCGCAAGGUUGAAACUCAAAGGAAUUGACGGGGGCCCGCACA
rnacentral:rRNA from 1 species